UGUGUAUCUUAUCUGCCCUUUUGUGUGUCUUACACCCACUUAUGUGCCUUUUACAAUGCCCCUUGUGUGUCUUCUACAAUUCCUAUUGUGUAUCUCUAACUUCUCCACCCCCUUUUUGUGUCUCUUACUUCCCCCAGACUCAAUUUGUGUCUCUUAUUUUCCCCACCUUGGUGUGUCCCUUUCUCCCCCCUUAGCCCCUUUUGGUGUCUUUUUCCUCCCCAGCCAUACAGACAUAGAUAUACAGGCAAAAACACAUACAUGCACAAAGACACAGACAUGCAACCAUACAGGCACACAGAUCUAGUUAUUCAG